rnacentral:lncRNA from 10 species
GUCCAAAGACCCCCUCCUCCAGUUAGCCCGCCCAGAGAAACGUCCCCACCCGUGCUCCCUGCCACCAGCGGGACAGCUCCACCUGAGUUUAGAGCAGACAGCUCUAAACUCACAGCCUGCUCUAGUCUCACUCUGUCACCCAGGCUGGAGUGCAGUUUGUGUGAUCUCAACUCACUGCAACCUCUGCCUCCUGGGUUCAAGCGAUUCUCCUGCCUCAGCCUCCCGAGUAGCUGGAAUUACAGAGUUCUUGGAGUCUCUGCGGAGUCCCUGGGCCAGAUCUCACAGUGAAAGCUGCAGGAUCUUCCUUCUGACCCCAGCAGUCCCCGUUGAGUCCACCGAUCCCACUGGAAUUAUAAAGUUGUCAGCAAGAAAGCCCCAGGGCUGAAGUCCAAGUCCGUCGGGAACAUGCCAGCUAACGAGGACGCUCCCCAGCCAGGGGAACAUGGCAGUGCCUGUGAGAACACCUGUUGAAGUCUGCAAAAGAUGUGGUUUGGAGAGCUUCAGGAUUGGUGAACAUGGAGGUGCUGGGUGGAUGGCACGCCCGGAGAAGACGUAGAAGCUCUGCGCCCCUUCCCACAUACCUUGCCCUAUGUAUGUGGAUAGGGGUGCUAGGAACAUCUGCUGUUCUAACAUUUGGUCUUUGACCCUUGUUCUUGACACAGAGCUCCUAAUCCCAUGCAGUUUCCUGGGUGAUAGGAGCAUCUUUUGUUCUAAUCAGGCUGUUUAUCUGGCUGUUCAUCUGUGUCUUUUGUAAUAUUCUUUAUAAUAAACCAGUAAAUGU